ensembl:piRNA 21ur-2627 ncRNA
UGGUUGUACAUUACCCACCAA